CCGCCUCUUGUGAUGUCAGCAGAGAAUCAUUGGGGGUUUUGGGGACAUUAUUUAAAGGACUAGCUCUUUCCUCACUAUUCAGACACCUCUGGAAUAUCAUCCAUAACGGAAUUACUUUAUUAGUUUUUUUCUAUAAAGCUUUUAAGGCUGAGGAAACGUCAUCCUACACAAUAUCUAUAUCUUCAUUAACCAUGUCGAUGUGGUUUGCUGUACUUCAUGUUUUAGGUAUUCUGUCUUUGACCUGUAGCACUUUUGGAUCGGAUUUAAAUGUUCCGACACCAAUUAGCUGUGGAACUCGUGCGGUGGACCUACCAGACACACGUAAGAGAGUGCUCUGCCCAGCAAACUGCACUCUCUGGAGUCUGUCAGUGUUUGGUUCAGGAGUAUAU